rnacentral:rRNA from 1 species
UACGGGGGGAGCAAGCGUUGUUCGGAUUUACUGGGCGUAAAGGGCGCGUAGGCGGCGUGACAAGUCACUUGUGAAAUCUCCGGGCUUAACUCGGAACGGUCAAGUGAUACUGUCGUGCUAGAGUACAGAAGGGGCAACUGGAAUUCUCGGUGUAGCGGUGAAAUGCGUAGAUAUCGAGAGGAACACCUGCGGCGAAGGCGGGUUGCUGGGCUGAUACUGACGCUGAGGCGCGAAAGCUAGGGGAGCGAAUGGG